CCAGAAUUUAAAAAUAAUUAUAUUAAUAAUAAAUAUGUUAAAUUACAUUUAAAACAAUAAAUAGAAAAAUAAACUGAUAAAUAAAAUCAACAGGUACAAAAUGUUUCAAAAAUCCAACCAAAAAAAACACACACAAAUGGACAGAUGGACAGACGGCCGACGAGACGAAUGGACGGAAGGGGACAGCGGGAAAUGCAAUCACAAGGACCCUUCACAGUUGGCGUUGCGCUCCCUCCUCACCCGGCCACACUCUCCCCUUCCCAGCUUGGGGACCAGGAGCCUCAGGGGUGACAAUGGCAGGGAUCCCAGCAGUGCAGGGAAGCAUCCAGUCCUGAGCAGCCCCGGCGGUGGGACGGGGCAGAGGGGCAGAGGACGUCCGGCGAGGGGGCACCUAGAGAGGCAGGUCGGUGCUGUUGUGCCGGGUCUUCCGGGCAGUGCCGUCAUCUCGGGGCAGCGCCCGCUGCAGGCUGGACAUGGCCGCAGUCUUCUUAAGGUCGAUCACGGCGUAGGAGUCUGAGCUGGGUGCGGUGGCCCGGGCGUUGAGGGGUCCUUGGGCUGCUCCCCACCCCAGCCCUUGAGCUCCACCUGGAUGUAAUUGAGCUGCCUCGGGGGCUCGGGGCCUGGGCGUCGGAAGUCGAAGCUAAAGACCCUUGGGGAGCCACGGCGGCGGGUCAGUGGCACGGGGAAGCCACCACGGCUUCGGGCAGCGGCCCGGGAGCUGGUGGGCUUCUGCAGCGGGGUCUCGUCCUCCUCGCCAUCGCCGAAGCCGUUGGAGGAGGGCGUGAGGCCAUCCCGAGAGUCGCCGUCAUCCCCGGGCUCCCCGGGCUGCGGCUGGCUGUGGCUCUCCCACACGGGGGGCAGCGGGGGCAGGUUCUCAUAGUGCAGCAGCGCGGCACGGCGGUGGGCCAGGCCCCCGCCCACGUUCUCAUAGGUGCACUUGGGCUGCGAGGGGCACUCAGAGGGAUCCUCAUUGUUGUUGUGGGGGGGGGGGCAUGUCCUGCAGGCUGGGACAGAGGCUUUGGCACUUGAGCAGGUGCCGCCGGGCAGGUGUGGGUCCCAGCACAAACUUCACCUGGCCAGGCUGCAGGAAGACCUGCGGGUCCCGAGGGCCAGGCUCCCGGGCCUGUGCGGGGAGGGGCACCCGGCCCUCAGGCAGUGGCUGCAGGCAGUGCCGGCUCCUGCGGGGCUCAUCCUCCCCGGCCGGAGUGUUGACGUAGGUGUGCGACUGCGGGACGGUCCACGUGUGGCAGGGCCCAGAGGAAGGAAGGGCAGGAGGGACAGCAGGAGGACAGAGGCUCAGGGAAAAGAGCCAGUCUCCCCUCCUCCUGUGGCCUCCAAACCUUCCUGGGACACGGCCUUCCCUUUCUUCCCCUUCCCUUGCUCCUUCCUGGUAGGAGGUAGCUGUGUUCCAAACCCCAUCCCCACCCAGACACUGGCAUGGCAGGCUGCUGCUCACCUGCUCAUCAGGGGCAAUGAGGGCGUGUGUGGACUCCUCCCUGAGCGAGGGGUGUCGCAGGCUGCUGGAGGGACGGCCGCCGGGGAGUGGAGAAUCUCUGGCCCUCUCCAGGGCAGACAGGGAAGCCAUUGGAGAAGCUGGAGACAGUGUAGCCUAGAGCUGGGCCGGGGACAGGCCAGGUGAGAGGGGUUAAAAGCACCUGAGUCACUGGCAACCUCCUGGGAGUGGGUCCUGGGACUCCUCCCGCAGGAGGGGACACUCAGUGCUGGGCCCCUGGCCACUGACAGCCUCCCACUGCCCCUCCGCUCUGAGCUCAGCCUGAGCCACUGCCCCACUUCCUCUAGGAGCCCUUCCCUGAG
ensembl:lncRNA